rnacentral:rRNA from 1 species
ACACGUAGUUGAUCAGUGGCUCAGGACACGCUGGCGGCGUGCCUAACACAUGCAAGUCGAGCGGAGACAGUGAGUAGCUUGCUACGAGCUGUUUUAGCGGCGGACGGGUGAGUAACGCGUGAGCAACCUUUCCCAGACAGGGGAAUAACACACCGAAAGGUGUACUAAUACCGCAUAAGACCACGGGAUCACAUGGUUCUGAGGUAAAAGAUUUAUCGGUUUGGGGUGGACCCGCGUCUGAUUAGCUAGUUGGUGAGGUUAACGGCCCACCAAGGCGACGAUCAGUAGCCGGCCUGAGAGGGUGAACGGCCACAUUGGGACUGAGACACGGCCCAAACUCCUACGGGAGACAGCAGUGGGGAAUAUUGCACAAUGGGGGAAACCCUGAUGCAGCGACGCCGCGUGAGUGAUGAAGUAUUUCGGUAUGUAAAACUCUAUCAGCAGGGAAGAUAAUGACGGUACCUGACUAAGAAGCACCGGCUAAAUACGUG